rnacentral:rRNA from 1 species
CCUACGGGAGUCAGCAGUGAGGAAUAUUGGUCAAUGUACGCAAGUCUGAACCAGCCAUGCCGCGUGAAGGAUGACGGCUCUAUGAGUUGUAAACUGCUUUUUUACGAGGGUAAACCCCGAUACGUGUAUCGGGUUGAAAGUAUCGUACGAAUAAGGAUCGGCUAACUCCGUGCCAACAGCCGCGGUAAUACGGAGGAUCCGAGCGUUAUCCGGAUUUCUUGGGGUUAAAGGGUGCGUAGGCGGUUUGAUAAGUUCGAGGUGAAAUGGCGGGGCUCAACCCCGAAACUGCCGAUAAUAGUGUUGGACUAGAGAAUAGUUGCGGUAGGCGGAAUGUAUGGGGUAGCGGUGAAAUGCUUAGAGAUCAUACAGAACACCGAUUGCGAAGGCAGCUUACCAAACUAUAUCUGACGUUGAGGCACGAAAGCGUGGGUAGCAAACAGGAUUAGAUACCCUUGUAGUC